rnacentral:rRNA from 1 species
CUCCAGACUCCUACGGGAGGCAGCAGUGGGGAAUAUUGCACAAUGGGGGAAACCCUGAUGCAGCGACGCCGCGUGAGCGAUGAAGUAUUUCGGUAUGUAAAGCUCUAUCAGCAGGGAAGAAAAUGACGGUACCUGACUAAGAAGCCCCGGCUAACUACGUGCCAGCAGCCGCGGUAAUACGUAGGGGGCAAGCGUUAUCCGGAUUUACUGGGUGUAAAGGGAGCGUAGACGGCUGUGCAAGCCAGAUGUGAAAGCCCGGGGCUCAACCCCGGGACUGCAUUUGGAACUGUGUGGCUGGAGUGUCGGAGAGGCAGGCGGAAUUCCUAGUGUAGUGGUGAAAUGCGUAGAUAUUAGGAGGAACACCAGUGGCGAAGGCGGCCUGCUGGACGAUGACUGACGUUGAGGCUCGAAAGCGUGGGGAGCAAACAGGAUUAGAUACCCUCGUAA